UGUUUAUAUAGUUUAAAAACACUAGACUGUGAAACUAGAAAUAGAUCUUAUAGACCAAGGAUGAA
rnacentral:tRNA from 1 species